UUUAGCUGUCCAAAUGACUUUUAGAUAAAGCCACUCAAACUGGGCAUAUAAACCCAAACUCACCAGAGUGAUAUGCUUACAUUUAAAGAGAAUUAAAAAUCUGAGGUUUCAGAAGUUACAAUCACAAAGCUCAAGUGAGAAGAUAGGUCCCGCUGUGGAAGAAAGUGGCCUCCCAGAUAUUGGGUCUAGAAAGUGCUCUUUGGGCCUGGCAAUCAUCCAGAUGAGGAGUAAUGAGGGAUGACAUCCAGAG